rnacentral:rRNA from 1 species
UACGAAGGGGGCUAGCGUUGCUCGGAAUCACUGGGCGUAAAGCGCACGUAGGCGGAUUGUUAAGUCAGGGGUGAAAUCCUGGAAAGCCGGCCGAUACUGUCGGACUAGAGUCCGGAAGAGGCGAGUGGAAUUCCCGGUGUAGCGGUGAAAUGCGCAGAUAUCGGGAGGAACACCAAUUGCGAAGGCAGCUCGCUGGGACGGUACUGACGCUGAGGCGCGAAAGCGUGGGGAGCAAACAGG